rnacentral:lncRNA from 1 species
CUGGAAGGCUGAGUGGGGAAGAAGGAAGACACUUCCUGUUUGCUUCCUGUUCUGUUUAACGACACCCUAACGAUUACUUUUCAUUUCAGCAGUUAUAGUUUGUUUCAGUAGCAACAGUUAUUUCCAGUUUUAGUUUUGACAGCAUUCCUAGAACUAGCUCCUUAGGGUUUUUUAAAGACACCAACGCCAACCAGCAAGCGCCCCCUACUGAGCGGUCUAGGUCCCAGCUCUGAGAAGCCACUCAAGUUUCUAAGAACGAAGUCAUGAGUAGAAGCCAGGGAGGCAUGAAAGAAAAAGUCUUGUGGCACCCACACCGAGAAGAUGCUAAGCAGAGAUGUGAGGAAACAAAGCUGAGAAUUGAGGGACAAUCCAAGGGAAAGAAGUGGACUGGGAAAUCGGUUCUCCUGGCCUGGAAAAGACACGUCACCACAGGAAAAAAUCUGGCUCCAGAGAACAAUUUAUUUUAAUAUGCCUCAUUUUGCUAUUUCAUUAAUUCAGAAAUACUUGGCCUUUUUUUCUACUGUUACUGUGGAGGCAUAAUAGGAAAUGUAAACAUACUGGUACAAAAUAAGAAAUAACUUAUUUAUAUGGCAGGAAGACUAGAAAAAUCACAGCCAUUUUCUUCUUCUUACUAUAAGCUCUAAUUUUCCAUGAUACUGCUCUACAUACAGGAUCUUUAUUUAAAAAAACCUGAAGUGAUGAUAUUACAUUGCCACAUCAACAUUUGAAAUUAAAUGAUCAAUGGGUGAUAUAAAAAUGGCCAGCACAUGGUACAUUUUGUAAUACUUUAAGUCACAUUGUUGAGAUCCUUGAUAAAGAUAUGAUUUGCUUUUAAUCUGGCACCAUCAUUUAUUUUGGGCAAAGCUAGAAAACAAAUAACAUAAUUUGCAUAAUGAAACCAUUGAGAGAAAAAUCACUGUAAUUUGUCAGAGGUAUCUGCACCAUUUUGACUUACAGUUUAAAUUCAUUCAAGUUUAUUUCUUUCCUUACCCCAACUAAACAAUGCUUUUGAUUUAUUCUUGCCAUUUAGUGUCAUAUAAAAUAAAGUGUUCCACUAGGAGGAGAAAUAAUUUGUCAAGUAGAAACUAUAUUAAAUGAAACAUUCUCUCUGAUAUGUUUUUAAUUUGUUUUAUUCCCAUUUUGCUAUUGCAAUUUUCCCACCUGCCAAUGGAGAUAAGGGGCUGUUUCAUUCUUUCUCUUUUGGCUCGCGAAGGCCACACGCUUGUUUUGUUAAGGAGAGUCCACCUAUCACCAGGAGGGACAGAAGUCAGCUCAGGAAGGGAGACCCUGCCAGGGGACUCAGCCAUGAGGUAAGGCCAGCCAUGAGUCCAAAGACAAGUAUUCCUGAGCA